rnacentral:pre_miRNA from 1 species
UCCCUGAGACCCUAGAGUUUCCCAGCUUGUCAAAGCUCACGUUCAACGGAAAUUCUAUGGUUUCAGGUUA